rnacentral:rRNA from 1 species
CUACGGGGGGCUGCAGUGGGGAAUAUUGGACAAUGGGCGCAAGCCUGAUCCAGCCAUGCCGCGUGAGUGAUGAAGGCCCUAGGGUUGUAAAGCUCUUUCGCCGGUGAAGAUAAUGACGGUAACCGGUAAAGAAGCCCCGGCUAACUUCGUGCCAGCAGCCGCGGUAAUACGAAGGGGGCUAGCGUUGUUCGGAAUUACUGGGCGUAAAGCGCACGUAGGCGGACAUUUAAGUCAGGGGUGAAAUCCCGGGGCUCAACCCCGGAACUGCCUUUGAUACUGGAUGUCUUGAGUCCGGAAGAGGUGAGUGGAAUUGCGAGUGUAGAGGUGAAAUUCGUAGAUAUUCGCAGGAACACCAGUGGCGAAGGCGGCUCACUGGUCCGGUACUGACGCUGAGGUGCGAAAGCGUGGGGAGCAAACAGGAUUAGAUACCCGGGUAGUC